AUUUUCAUCUGCCAGUGUUGCCAGGGCUAUUAUCGUAUACAUUUCUCUCCUCCACGGUGUCCUAACCUUAAGGUCAUCGACAAUGGCGAACUCUCUGCAACGUAUCUUGAAUCCAGCUCGUCGUGUAUAUGGAUCCACUUUGGUUCCAUUAUCGAGACCGUUCUCUACAGACUCCUUGGUUGAGAUCAAACCAGGGGAGAUCGGGAAGGUCUCUGGCAUCCCCGAAGAACACCUUCGAAGGAGGGUUGUAAUCCUUUCUCCUGCUCGGACUGCCACACAACAGGGUUCAGGAAAAGUUGGAAGCUGGAAGAUCAAUUUUAUGUCAACACAGAAAUGGGAAAAUCCAUUGAUGGGUUGGACAUCCACAGGGGACCCAUAUGCCAAUGUUGGCGAUGCUGCACUCAGUUUUGACAGUGAAGAAGCUGCCAAAGCAUUUGCUGAGAAACAUGGUUGGGAAUACACGGUUAAGAAGCACCAGACGCCACUGUUGAAGCUCCUGUAACGCAGGAUCCUCUACUCUGUUAUUCUGAUUGCAGGUUAGGGCUUAUGCAGACAACUUCAGGUGGAAGGGUCCUCCCAAAUCUGCAGAAAACUGAUUUUGGUUCACCCCCAAUCUUGUUUUCUCAAUCAAUAGGUACCAAUGGCAUAUGUUAUUGCUGCAAAGGCUUGCAUUUUCUUUGUUGCUUUCAACAAAGCAUACGUUGUUGUCUGAGAGAAAUACCAACUCUUAGAUUUCAAUAAAUUGUACUCAUCGAUCGAUGCUAUUCUUCUUUUUCAUUGCCUUUUCUUUGACCAUUUGUCAUGUUAUUGUUCUCUCAGAAGUUCUGAGUAAGACCUUGAUUUAUUUUUAGUGCAUCUUGCGGACUUAGCUAUGUAAUUUCUUGAGUUUGCAGUUAAUUUUUUUAAUGAUAUUUGAUACGAAAUACUUGGAGAGGAUU